rnacentral:rRNA from 1 species
GAUGAACGCUAGCGACAGGCCUAACACAUGCAAGUCGAGGGGCAGCGGGGCGAGGAGCAAUCCUUGCCGCCGGCGACCGGCGCACGGGUGAGUAACGCGUAUGCGACCUGCCCGUUGCAGGGGGAUAAUCGGGAGAAAUCCCGUCUAAUACCGCGUAACGCCGCGGGGCUGCAUGGCCCUGCGGCCAAAGGAAGCGAUUCCGGCAACGGAUGGGCAUGCGUGACAUUAGCUAGUUGGCGGGGCAACGGCCCACCAAGGCGACGAUGUCUAGGGGUUCUGAGAGGAAGGUCCCCCACACUGGUACUGAGACACGGACCAGACUCCUACGGGAGGCAGCAGUGAGGAAUAUUGGUCAAUGGGCGCGAGCCUGAACCAGCCAAGUCGCGUGAGGGAUGACGGCCCUACGGGUUGUAAACCUCUUUUGUCGGGGAGCAAAUUCCGCCACGUGUGGCGGAGUCGAGAGUACCCGAAGAAAAAGCAUCGGCUAACUCCGUGCCAGCAGCCGCGGUAAUACGGAGGAUGCGAGCGUUAUCCGGAUUUAUUGGGUUUAAAGGGUGCGUAGGCGGACUGUCAAGUCAGCGGUAAAAUACGGGGGCUCAACCUCCGCCCGCCGUUGAAACUGACGGUCUUGAGUGGGCGAGAAGUAUGCGGAAUGCGUGGUGUAGCGGUGAAAUGCAUAGAUAUCACGCAGAACUCCGAUUGCGAAGGCAGCAUACCGGCGCCCAACUGACGCUGAAGCACGAAAGCGUGGGUAUCGAACAGGAUUAGAUACCCUGGUAGUCCACGCAGUAAACGAUGAAUACUAGCUGUCCGGGGCGAAUGAGCCCUGGGUGGCACAGCGAAAGCGUUAAGUAUUCCACCUGGGGAGUACGCCGGCAACGGUGAAACUCAAAGGAAUUGACGGGGGCCCGCACAAGCGGAGGAACAUGUGGUUUAAUUCGAUGAUACGCGAGGAACCUUACCCGGGCUCAAACGACACAGGAACGGUCCUGAAAGGGGUCGGCUCUACGGAGCCUGUGUCGAGGUGCUGCAUGGUUGUCGUCAGCUCGUGCCGUGAGGUGUCGGCUUAAGUGCCAUAACGAGCGCAACCCCUAUCGACAGUUGCUAACAGGUUAAGCUGAGGACUCUGUCGAGACUGCCGGCGCAAGCUGCGAGGAAGGCGGGGAUGACGUCAAAUCAGCACGGCCCUUACGUCCGGGGCGACACACGUGUUACAAUGGCAGGUACAGCGGGAAGCCACCUGGCGACAGGGAGCGGAACCCGAAAGCCUGUCUCAGUUCGGAUUGGAGUCUGCAACCCGACUCCAUGAAGCUGGAUUCGCUAGUAAUCGCGCAUCAGCCACGGCGCGGUGAAUACGUUCCCGGGCCU